rnacentral:misc_RNA from 1 species
UACGUAGGGUGCAAGCGUUGUCCGGAUUUAUUGGGCGUAAAGAGUUCGUAGGCGGUGGCUUAAGUCUGGUGUUAAAUACUGAAGCUCAACUUCAGCAUGGCAUCGGAAACUGGGUCACUAGAGUGCGGUAGAGGUAUCGGGAAUUCCAGGUGUAGCGGUGAAAUGCGUAGAUAUCUGGAGGAACACCAGUGGCGAAAGCGCGAUACUGGGCCGUAACUGACGCUGAGGAACGAAAGCCUGGGUAGCGAAAGGG